AUCUUCGGCAAUGGACGAAAGUCUGACCGAGCAACGCCGCGUGAGUGAAGAAGGUUUUCGGAUCGUAAAACUCUGUUGUCAGAGAAGAACAAGGGUGAGAGUGGAAAGUUCACCCCUUGACGGUAUCUGACCAGAAAGCCACGGCUAACUACGUGCCAGCAGCCGCGGUAAUACGUAGGUGGCAAGCGUUGUCCGGAUUUAUUGGGCGUGAAGCGAGCGCAGGCGGUUCUUUAAGUCUGAUGUGAAAGCCCCCGGCUCAACCGGGGAGGGUCAUUGGAAACUGGAGGACUUGAGUGCAGAAGAGGAGAGUGGAAUUCCAUGUGUAGCGGUGAAAUGCGUAGAUAUAUGGAGGAACACCAGUGGCGAAGGCGGCUCUCUGGUCUGUAACUGACGCUGAGGCUCGAAAGCGUGGGGAGCAAACAG
rnacentral:rRNA from 1 species